UCAAACUUGGUCAUUUAGAGGAAGUAAAAGUCGUAACAAGGUUUCCGUAGGUGAACCUGCGGAAGGAUCAUUAUCGAAUUGUAAUGACUUUUGGCUGUCGCUGGCUCUCCAUAUCGGGAGCAUGUGCACGCCUGGUCUAAACUUUUCACUUUAACCUCCUGUGCACUUUUUGUGGAUCGUGGAUGUGAUAAUCUUGUCGAGGUAACACUCGGUCUUGAGGUUUGUGUGGAUAAUCCACACUCUCCUCUACAUCCGUCUCCGGUUCAUGUCUUUUCUACACACCAUGUUAUUUAACUUUGAACGCUUAAACGUUGGGACUUUAGUGACCCUUCUUAAACUUUAUACAACUUUCAACAACGGAUCUCUUGGCUCUCGCAUCGAUGAAGAACGCAGC
rnacentral:misc_RNA from 1 species